rnacentral:rRNA from 1 species
AACGCUGGCGGCGUGCUUAACACAUGCAAGUCGAACGGAAAGGCCUUUCGGGGUACUCGAGUGGCGAACGGGUGAGUAACACGUGGGUGAUCUGCCCUGCACUUUGGGAUAAGCCUGGGAAACUGGGUCUAAUACCGAAUAUGACCACGCUCUUCAUGGGGUGUGGUGGAAAGCUUUUGCGGUGUGGGAUGGGCCCGCGGCCUAUCAGCUUGUUGGUGGGGUAAUGGCCUACCAAGGCGACGACGGGUAGCCGGCCUGAGAGGGUGACCGGCCACACUGGGACUGAGAUACGGCCCAGACUCCUACGGGAGGCAGCGGUGGGGAGUAUUGCACAAUGGGCGCAAGCCUGAUGCAGCGACGCCGCGUGAGGGAUGACGGCCUUCGGGUUGUAAACCUCUUUCACCAGGGACGAAGCGCAAGUGACGGUACCUGGAGAAGAAGCACCGGCCAACUACGUGCCAGCAGCCGCGGUAAUACGUAGGGUGCGAGCGUUGUCCGGAAUUACUGGGCGUAAAGAGCUCGUAGGUGGUUUGUCGCGUUGUUCGUGAAAACUCACAGCUUAACUGUGGGCGUGCGGGCGAUACGGGCAGACUAGAGUACUGCAGGGGAGACUGGAAUUCCUGGUGUAGCGGUGGAAUGCGCAGACAUCAGGAGGAACAC